UCAAAUUGAGCUCUUUAAAGACAUUUGAUCUAACUUAUGGAGCCAAGAAAACGAAAGGAAGAGAGGCAGAGACAGACCGUGAGGCUCUCAGGCCAACCACGGACUGUCCUGGCCAAGAGUGGGACAGACAGACUGCCAGGCAGCAGCACAGCCAGGAAUAGAGUCUUCCCUGAGCAUCAGCAAAGCACAGUGCAAGAAUCCCAAAGAUUCCCAAGCAAGCAGCAAGGGCUCUCUGUGGUAGGUAUUGCCUCCACAGCCAUCCUCACCAAUGGCAUGGAAGUUUCACUCUCUGUCUUGAGCCUUGGAUCCAAGACCCUGAUGUCCAGCAAAAUGGAACAGCACAGGCUCUGCAGACCUUUCACCAAAAGGCUGGGAUGCUUUUAUCCUCACUGUUUCCAGAAUCCAUUUUCUGGCUCCCAGAGAAGAUGAAAUGACACCCUUGGUUCCAUCUGAGUCCAGAGAUUUUUUUGCCUGUCACAUCCAGAUGAUGUGUUAGGAAGAAGAGACUCUGCAGGAUUUAUUCCUGAACUCCUUCUUUUACCAGUUCUAA